UGACCUAGCCGGCGGACGGGUGAGUAAUACUUAGGAAUCUGCCUAUUAAUGGGGGACAACAUCUCGAAAGGGAUGCUAAUACCGCAUACGCCCUACGGGGGAAAGCAGGGGAUCACUUGUGACCUUGCGUUAAUAGAUGAGCCUAAGUCGGAUUAGCUAGUUGGUGGGGUAAAGGCCUACCAAGGCGACGAUCUGUAGCGGGUCUGAGAGGAUGAUCCGCCACACUGGGACUGAGACACGGCCCAGACUCCUACGGGAGGCAGCAGUGGGGAAUAUUGGACAAUGGGGGGAACCCUGAUCCAGCCAUGCCGCGUGUGUGAAGAAGGCCUUAUGGUUGUAAAGCACUUUAAGCGAGGAGGAGGCUCUUUUGGUUAAUACCCAAGAUGAGUGGACGUUACUCGCAGAAUAAGCACCGGCUAACUCUGUGCCAGCAGCCGCGGUAAUACAGAGGGUGCGAGCGUUAAUCGGAUUUACUGGGCGUAAAGCGUGCGUAGGCGGCUUUUUAAGUCGGAUGUGAAAUCCCCGAGCUUAACUUGGGAAUUGCAUUCGAUACUGGGAAGCUAGAGUAUGGGAGAGGAUGGUAGAAUUCCAGGUGUAGCGGUGAAAUGCGUAGAGAUCUGGAGGAAUACCGAUGGCGAAGGCAGCCAUCUGGCCUAAUACUGACGCUGAGGUACGAAAGCAUGGGGAGCAAACAGGAUUAGAUACCCUGGUAGUCCAUGCCGUAAACGAUGUCUACUAGCCGUUGGGGUCUUUGAGACUUUAGUGGCGCAGCUAACGCGAUAAGUAGACCGCCUGGGGAGUACGGUCGCAAGACUAAAACUCAAAUGAAUUGACGGGGGCCCGCACAAGCGGUGGAGCAUGUGGUUUAAUUCGAUGCACGCGAAGACCUUACCUGGUCUUGACAUAGUAAGAACUUUCCA
rnacentral:rRNA from 1 species